rnacentral:rRNA from 1 species
CCUACGGGAGGCAGCAGUGAGGAAUAUUGGUCAAUGGACGGAAGUCUGAACCAGCCAUGCCGCGUGCAGGAAGACGGUACUGUGAGUUGUAAACUGCUUUUGUCCGGGGGCAAACGCAGAGACGCGUAUCUGUCUGAAAGUAUCGUACGAAAAAGGAUCGGCUAACUCCGUGCCAGCAGCCGCGGUAAUACGGAGGAUUCAAGCGUUAUCCGGAUUUAUUGGGUUUAAAGGGUGCGUAGGCGGUCCGAUAAGUUAGCGGUGAAAUCCCGAGGCUCAACUUCGGAAUGGCCUCUGAUACUGUUCGGCUAGAGAGUAGGUGCGGUAGGCGGAAUGUAUGGUGUAGCGGUGAAAUGCUUAGAGAUCACACAGAACCCCGAUUGCGAAGGCAGCUUACCAAGCUACUUCUGACGUUGAGGCACGAAAGCGUGGGGAGCGAACAGGAUUAGAUACCCUUGUAGUC